CAGUUUAUACUCACUGACAUUUCUUUGCCUCGGUACUUAUAGUUCUUCAGCCUCUCUUUGGGAGCCUUUGAGGUAGCCAUGUUGACUGAAGGAAAGACACCACCUGUAGGGAAGUUAAGGCCAGCGAAGACUUCAGCUCCAUUUGAACUGAGUCACUCAUGUCCAAGGGUGGUCUCAGAGUCACAAUGCAGCCAAGGUGGGCUUGAGCCCCGGAUGCUUCUCCACCUUCUUCUAAGUGCUGGAAUUACAGGUAUACAGAAGAGACACACGAGGUCGAGAUAUCAGAGCCGGCGCGGUAGCUCGGCAGGUAAGGCACUUGCUAAGCAGAGAAAGCUCUAAGACCUGAGUUCCAUCCUCAGAACACAAUGCCCAGGCAGAAGAACUCACCCUGAAAAGUUGUCUUCUGACCUUAUGUGCAAAUGGAUGCCCGAUGUCUCUCACACACACCCAAUCUUCUCUCCCCCUCCUUAAUCUAAAAAAAAAAAAAAAAAAAAAAAAAAAAAAA